CAUUACCGAGUUUACAACUCCCAAACCCCUGUGAACAUACCAAUUGUUGCCUCGGCGGAUCAGCCCGCUCCCGGUAAAACGGGACGGCCCGCCAGAGGACCCCUAAACUCUGUUUCUAUAUGUAACUUCUGAGUAAAACCAUAAAUAAAUCAAAACUUUCAACAACGGAUCUCUUGGUUCUGGCAUCGAUGAAGAACGCAGCAAAAUGCGAUAAGUAAUGUGAAUUGCAGAAUUCAGUGAAUCAUCGAAUCUUUGAACGCACAUUGCGCCCGCCAGUAUUCUGGCGGGCAUGCCUGUUCGAGCGUCAUUUCAACCCUCAAGCCCUCGGGUUUGGUGUUGGGGAUCGGCGAGCCCUUGCGGCAAGCCGGCCCCGAAAUCUAGUGGCGGUCUCGCUGCAGCUUCCAUUGCGUAGUAGUAAAACCCUCGCAACUGGUACGCGGCGCGGCCAAGCCGUUAAACCCCCAACUUCUGAAUGUUGACCUCGGAUCAGGUAGGAAUACCCGCUGAACUUAA
rnacentral:rRNA from 1 species